rnacentral:lncRNA from 1 species
CUUCCUCUCUAUGAAGAAGGGAUCGACCUCUGUGAUAGAAUACAUUCAUGAAGUGAAGUCUGUAGUUGGCAGUCUGAGCUCCAUCAGCUAGCCUCUCUUGAAGGUUGAAUUGAUCCUCCAAGUGCUUGCAGGUCUGGAUUCCAACUUUGACUCCAUCAUGGUUGCAAUCACCACCCUUCUGGCCAACUAUAGCCUUGAAG